ensembl:lncRNA
UAAAUAAUGUCUUAUCAUGAUGGAUAAUCAAACUGUGAAAAAACAACAACAAAAAAGCAAUUUAUUGCAUAUGCAUUUUUUGCUUUAUUGGGCUGAGAAAUAGUGAUAGUAUUGCUGCCUCAGUACUGAGGUUCCUGAUGUCCAGGCUCUGGCCUGGCAAAGUCUCGCUGGGUUUCAUGAUGCUGCAGCGCUCUGUAGUUCAGUGGCAGAGCUGGGAGUGCCACCUUUCUGCAAGGCUGCCCGAGUCUUCCCGUUUGAGGCCCAGCAGUCUACAACUUUGCCAGACUUUUAACCGUUGGAGCAGAAUUUUUUCCAUGCCUCUGGCUAAAUUUGAUGUGGAAAAUUUCAGCUAAAACAAUGCCGUCAUUUCUGAGAAUGAGACUAAGGGGAAGUAUGAUGCCCAGGGUAAAAUAUUCUUAUAGACAUUUUCCAGUGAAGCUCAAGGGCCUCUGGACUUUGGAGUGAGACCUUAACCUGCUCACCCUCAGGUCAGGAUGUGCCUUUUGGUGCUCCAGUCAAAAUGUACCUGCAUGAAGCCAAACUAUUAAUUGCAGGGAAAACAAAUCUCAUUUUGUCAGUGCAUAUUUUAAAGCUGUUAGAGCUCAGCAGCCAAACUCCGCAUCUCCAUGAGCUCAGCACAUAGGAGCACCUACUCCUACCUGAAUGUGCAGGUACCAUCUCCACAGCCCAACCAAGUGUGAAUCCCAGGGGGUAAGGAGGACUUUUCUCCAAUGCUCCUGCUGUGUCUGGGGAUCUCAGGCGAUGGCAGGGCCUCUGCCUCCAGGAGCUGUGUGUCCUCUCCAUCAGCACGGAGGACWUCUGCCUGGCAUCCAGAAAGAUGAAUAAUGACUGGAGACAGGAACCGAAGAUUUGAGAAGCCAGAAGGUGGAUCUGGAGAGAAACAAAGUGAUGAAGGAAGGGCGAAUUUAGUGGUGGAGGGAGAAGACAGGCUUCAGGGGUCAAGCAGGAAAGGGCAAGAAGCUGGAGAAGGCCUGAACAAGAGCAAAAGCUUUGGAAGUCUUCCUAAUUGUUGGUUGAACCUCGGCAACGCCGAGAAUGUUCCCUUUUUUGCUGGGCUAUCUGUCCGCUGGGAUUGCCGGAGAGAAACGCAUGCAGGCACCAAGGCCCAUCACAUACCCACCACGAUUCAGCUUCCUGUCGUGUUGCAGAAGAGCAGCGCUGCAGCUUUUAUGCAAGAAUGUCAGAGCUGAAGAAAAGUCUUUCUCAUCAGUAGCAGGAAAUGCUCCAAAAAAGGUGAAUGGAAAAACACAGUCAUGCAAGAAUGUGUAAAUCAUUCUGCUGGUUUACUGCAUCUUCCCUUAUGAAUGGUUGGCCUCACUUACUGCUAUAUGUACUAAACCAGGUACUAGUCUUGUUUUAUAACUGAAAUUACCCUUGGCCAAAAUUUUCAGUUCAAAAAAAACCUUUCCAGUUCUCUGUUUCUUAGGCAAAUGACACUCAGGCUCCCUGCAGUCAGACCUAAAGCUAUGGGAAUAUUUUGAGGUGGAGUCAUCAGUAUUAAAGCAAAAUAAGGUGAAGAUGAUUCAAGCACAAAACUCACUUGGUGUCAGUCUUUCCUACAGAAAGACAAAGAGGAUUUGUUAAUGCCGCGUGGAGGCUGUCUCUGCAAGAGUCAUAUUUCUUUCUUUAUGGAGAUGAAGUUAGUCUUUAAGGCAUCAGCUCAAAAUGGCCUUUCAUUCAUUACAAAGUUAUUUAGUUACGGGUAGGUAACUCUAAAUGACAUUUCUACAUAUUGCACUUUAUUAGUUGAUCCUAGCUGUUAAAUGACAUGGAGAGCUCAGCAGAGUAUGGCAGGGUAGUUCCGUGUGUUUUGGAUAGUUUUGAAUGUGGACCAGUGCUCUGAAGUCAAAAAUUUGCCUUGGAGAUGACGAGUUUUUGCACCUCCCUGACUCCCCCUCCCCCCCAAAAAAGUCAUAGAGAAAGUAAGAAAAGCUAGUGAAAAAUAAAAUUUAAAAAAAAAUCGAAAGAAUGAAAACA